AGUUGGUGGAGCGAUCUGUCUGGUUAAUUCUGUUAACGAACGAGACCUCGACCUGCUAAAUAGUACAACGUAACCCUUGGUUAUGUGUGCACUUCUUAGAGGGACUGUCGGUUCCUAGCCGAAGGAAGUUCGAGGCAAUAACAGGU
rnacentral:rRNA from 1 species